UCUAACUAUUAAGGGAAAUAGAACCUGUAAAAACUGUAAUUCUUAUCCAAACAUCCCAACAGUCUAAACUGCAAGCAUGCGGGUUUCCUGCGUGCCGCGUUGUUGCGUCAGCACCGCCUGUUCUGUACACCCCACUGAGAAGAGAAAUGUGGGUGAAGGAGGAGAGAACCCAAAUCUCCAAACACCGAAGAGAUCGAGACAAUUGAACCUGCUGAAGAGCUUAGCUCCACCUCUGAUGGCCGCCCUCGUUGCCUUUAAUCCUCUUUUUACUCCCCCAGUGUCACUUGGACAGACAAUAGAUGUACAAAAAGGAGCCUCGUUGUUCAAUCGAGCUUGCAUAGGGUGUCAUACUGCCGGUGGAAAUAUAAUACAACCAGGUGCAACACUCUUCUUGAAGGACCUUCAGAGAAAUGGAGUAGAUACAGAGGAGGAAAUAUACCGAGUAACUUACUAUGGAAAAGGGAGAAUGCCAGGCUUUGGUGAGGAAUGCACGCCAAGAGGCCAAUGUACUUUUGGUCCAAGGUUACAGGAAGACGAGAUUAAAUUGCUAGCAGAGUUUGUGAAGUCACAGGCUGAUCAAGGCUGGCCCGACGGAGAAAGUGGUGGCAACUGAAAAACCUUAUCUCCGUUAGUUCUAUGGAGAAACAGAAACACAUCAACUUGCAAAAGUGGUGGCAAAACUGGGCACAUGGUAGCAUGCACAUUCAUCAAUCAGCUUUGGCACAUUCAUAUGCUGCUGUGAGGAAAGUCAUAUGUGCAGGUGUAGAAUAAACUAUGCAUCCUUAAAAGUUGAAGCUAUUAUGGCAAAAAAAAAAAAAAAAAAAAAAAGUUGAAGCUGCUACUUUUAAGAGACUUGGUUUAGAUAUUGGCUUUGACUUUUAAAGUAGUGAGAUUUGAACUUGAUACUUUUAAGGAAUAGAGGUAUUCUGGUCAGUAAAAUAUUUUAUAUGAUGUGAUUAGUUGAUUGUUGAUCUCUUCAUAAAAUUACCUUUUGAAAUUUAGUCUCAGUUCGCACCGAGCCGGUCCAA